AAUACAAAGUUACCACAACGUCUGAUGCUGGACAAAGGUCAGGUUGUGAACCCAUAGUUGAACCCCAAAUAGAUUGCAGAGCUGGGUUGAUGACAUACUUUGGGUAGAAGACUGAAGAUGCCUUGACAGGAUGGGUGGCCAACCUGAUUCUGCAGAGGGAUGCAGUGAAGAAUUUGCAUUCCUUUGCACUGCACUUGGUACAUUGUUGAACCCUGUCAACCAAAUUUCCCUCCAACCAUUCU